rnacentral:rRNA from 1 species
UACAGAGGGGGCAAGCGUUGUCCGGAAUUACUGGGCGUACAGCGCGCGCAGGCGGACCGCCACGUGCCGUGUGACAAGCCACUGCUCAACAGUGGAGGGCCAGGGUACACGAGCGGUCUGGAGGCAGGGAGAGGGAUGUGGAAUGCCCGGUGGAGCGGUGAAAUGCGUAGAGAUCGGGCGGAACACCAGCGGCGAAGGCGGCAUCCUGGUCCUGUUCUGACGCUGAAGCGCGAGAGCGUGGGGAGCGAACUGG